rnacentral:tRNA from 1 species
GCCCUUAGCUCAGUUGGAUAGAGCAACGACCUUCUAAGUCGUGGGCCGCAGGUUCGAAUCCUGCAGGGCGCGCCA